rnacentral:rRNA from 1 species
CGGGAACUCUGAGACAGGUGCUGCAUGGCUGUCGUCAGCUCGUGUUGUGAAAUGUUGGGUUAAGUCCCGCAACGAGCGCAACCCUUAUCCUUUGUUGCCAGCGCGUGAUGGCGGGAACUCAAAGGAGACUGCCGGUGAUAAACCGGAGGAAGGUGGGGAUGACGUCAAGUCAUCAUGGCCCUUACGAGUAGGGCUACACACGUGCUACAAUGGCGUAUACAAAGGGAAGCGACCCCGCGAGGGCAAGCGGAACUCAUAAAGUACGUCGUAGUCCGGAUUGGAGUCUGCAACUCGACUCCAUGAAGUCGGAAUCGCUAGUAAUCGUAGAUCAGAAUGCUACGGUGAAUACGUUCCCGGGCCUUGUACACACCGCCCGUCACACCAUGGGAGUGGGUUGCAA